GAUGAAGAACGUAGCGAAAUGCGAUAAGUAAUGUGAAUUGCAGAAUUCAGUGAAUCAUCGAAUCUUUGAACGCACCUUGCGCCCGCCAGUAUUCUGGCGGGCAUGCCUGUUCGAGCGUCAUUUCAACCAUCAAGCCCCGGGCUUGUGUUGGGGAUCUGCGGCUGCCCGCAGGCCCUGAAAACCAGUGGCGGGCUCGCUGUCACUCCGAGCGUAGUAGCACUCGUAUCUCGCUCAGGACGUGCCGCGGGCUCCGGCCGUUAAACCGCCUCUUUAGCACCCAAAGGUUGACCUCGGAUCAGGUAGGAGGACCCGCUGAACUUAAGCAUAUCAAUAAGCGGAGGA
rnacentral:misc_RNA from 1 species